AUUGAACGCUGGCGGCAUGCUUUACACAUGCGAGUCGAACGGUAACAGGUUAAGCUGACGAGUGGCGAACGGGUGAGUAAUGCAUCGGAACGUGCCCGAUCGUGGGGGAUAACGCAGCGAAAGCUGCGCUAAUACCGCAUACGAUCUGAGGAUGAAAGCGGGGGACCGUAAGGCCUCGCGCGAUCGGAGCGGCCGAUGUCAGAUUAGGUAGUUGGUGGGGUAAAGGCCCACAAAGCCGACGAUCUGUAGCUGGUCUGAGAGGACGACCAGCCAUACUGGGACUGAGACACGGCCCAGACUCCUACGGGAGGCAGCAGUGGGGAAUUUUGGACAAUGGGCGAAAGCCUGAUCCAGCAAUGCCGCGUGCAGGAAGAAGGCCUUCGGGUUGUAAACUGCUUUUGUACGGAGCGAAAAGGUCCUUUCUAAUACAAGGGGCUCAUGACGGUACCGUAAGAAUAAGCACCGGCUAACUACGUGCCAGCAGCCGCCGUAA
rnacentral:rRNA from 1 species